CCUACGGGAGGCUGCAGUGGGGAAUAUUGGACAAUGGGGGGAACCCUGAUCCAGCCAUGCCGCGUGUGUGAAGAAGGCCCUCGGGUUGUAAAGCACUUUCAGUGAGGAAGAACGCCUGGUGGUUAAUACCCAUCAGGAAAGACAUCACUCACAGAAGAAGCACCGGCUAACUCCGUGCCAGCAGCCGCGGUAAUACGGAGGGUGCGAGCGUUAAUCGGAAUUACUGGGCGUAAAGCGCGCGUAGGUGGCUUGAUAAGCCGGUUGUGAAAGCCCCGGGCUCAACCUGGGAACGGCAUCCGGAACUGUCAAGCUAGAGUGCAGGAGAGGAAGGUAGAAUUCCCUGUGUAGCGGUGAAAUGCGUAGAGAUCGGGAGGAAUACCAGUGGCGAAGGCGGCCUUCUGGACUGACACUGACACUGAGGUGCGAAAGCGUGGGUAGCAAACAGGAUUAGAUACCCCUGUAGUC
rnacentral:rRNA from 1 species